AAUUUUGCACUAUGGGCGCAAGCCCGAUCCAGCCAUGCCGCGUGAGUGAAGUAGGCCUUCGGGGUGUAAAUCUCUUUCGGACGGAAAGAAAUCGUGCAGGCUAAUACCCUGCGCGGAUGACGGUACCGUCAUAACAAGCACCUGCUAACUACGCGCCCGCAGCCGCGGUAACACCUAGGGUGCGAGCGUUAAUCGGAAUUACUGGGCGUAAAGCGUGCGCAGGCGGUUGAUUAAGACAGGCGUGAAAACCCCGGGGCUAACCUAGGAAAUGCGCUUGUGACUGGUCAGCUAGAGUACGGCAGAGGGGGGUUGAAUUCCACGUGUAGCAGUGAAAUGCGUAGGGAUGUGGAGGAACACCGAUGGCGAAGGCAGCCCCCUGGGCCGAUACUGACGCUCAUGCACGAAAGCGUGGGUAGCAAACAGG
rnacentral:rRNA from 1 species